UUUUUUUCGUUUAUAUGAGGAACUAAUGUCGUAAUUUACUGCGAUAAUUUACCAAAAUGCAACGAUCUUAAAAUCAUUGGAUUAUAUUUUUUAAAAGAUGUCAUCAUGUUGGUGUUAUUAAAGGGAAGAGAAUUUGGUAUUAUAAAGUAUUUCUAAAUUCUGGAUGAAAGCCCAACCUCUAAGAGAAACAGAUGGAAAGCCCAAAAGAGGGUAAAAAUAAUUGCGGUGAACGUGGAUCGAACACGUGACCUUCAGAUCUUCAGUCUGACGCUCUCCCAACUGAGCUAUCCCCGCAAGAUAUUAAUUACUUCUACUUACUAAUCAGUACCAUUUCUAUGCUCUAUAAAACAUUUUUUUUAAAAACUAGUCAAGUCUUUUUUAAAUAAUUUCAAUUUUGACCAUCAAAACAGGAAGCAGAUAUGCGACAGGCAACAAAUCAGCACCAUGAUUAUCCCAACUCCUCUCGUCUUUAUCCAGUCCGAUUUCCCGCCAAAUUGCAAGAAACUAGUAACGAUUUCCCUCCUCCGCCAUCGAUUUCUAUAAAGCAGGGCAUCGUUGAAGUUAUCGAUUUCUAUGAAGCAGGCAUCGUUGAAGUGUUGUUCAUCAUAACCAUAACCAGAUUACAGUAGAUCAAUCCCAAAAUUUAUAGCCAUCAAUGUGAAAUUCUGCAUUUGCUCUUUAACUUACGCUACUUGUAUGUAUAUUUCUUCUAGACUAGAACACAAACACAUGCUAUUCGAAAAGCUCAUGAGAACAUUAUAGGGCUUUAAAGGCAUUACUCUCAUUGAUUUAGUCAUUUUGGUAUUGGAGCAACCAUAGUACUCCUGUUGGUUGGAUUUAAUUAUCUAAUCUACACAUGUACUUAUGUUGCGGGAUCCCACUAAUAGGGAAAUAUUCUCCAAGAUGCCAAGUGAUGAUGCUAGAUUUGCUUGGUUGAAGUUUGCUCAAACAAGAAGUACAUUUUGAUUGAAAUAUUUUCUUAGUGAAUUGUUUUUUUCAAGCUUAUUGAUGUUAGUACUUAGUUCUAUGCUAGUUUUUUAUUAGAUUCUAAUAUUGUUUAUAUGGGUCUUGCAUUUGAGUACAUUAAAACCGAAGUUGCAACAUUCCAAUGCCUAUCACAUCAUAUUGAAAAUGCAUGCCUUAUUUUAAAGUAAAUGAAUGCGAUAAUUUAUAUACAUAUAUUUCUAUAUUGUUGUUGAAACAUUUUCUUAUCAGGGUGCAUUGGUGGUACUCGUAUGGAUCAGAAAAGGAGUCCUUACAUUCAAUAAUGGAUGUAUGUGACUAUGGUAUUUGUUCAUAAUCGGUAACAAUUGGAAUAUUGUUAAAAAAAGAUACUAAGAAUAAAUUUUUUAUAAUGAAUAAUAAUACCAAGAAACUCGAGGAGUCCCAAUUACAUUACUUUCUCUAUAACAACAUGCUAAUUGCUACACAAGUGUUUUCAUACAUAUAUAUUCCACAACAUGAAACAACAAAUCCCCACACCACAUCCCCAACACAGCAUCUACUCUCAUAUACACAAACAGGCCAAAUCGCCAGCCCACACACCAUAACAUCUACUUUCAGUCAUACACAAACACAAACCGGCCAACCCCGAACCGAUUGGCCCGUAUGCAUACAGGUCAACCCUUCAACCAAUUCGACAAAAACGGUCCAGCAUCACACGGGUCAACCCAACCCAACCCACCCACAACAAGACCCGUUUUACCAGUCUUGAAAACAAAUAUUAUCCCCAUACACAUAGGGCAAAGUAUGUAAUAACAUCACACUAUCCUCUCUUUAUCUUUCCCUCUUUUGCUUAACUUCCCCCACCAAUGUUUACCCCGCUUAUCACCACCACCACCACCGCCGCCGCCUCCGCCACCACAACCGCCGCCAUCACCGCCACCCUCACUUUCCGGAUGUACACCCUUCAUGAGUCUCGCUUUGGCCUCCCGCAACCGCUGCUUGUACUCUUUUUUCCACAUCUCGAAUCUCUUUUUUAAACUUUUAUACUCUUCGAUUUGCUUCGAGGAAGGCGGGCGACCCGGCUUCACGUCUAUAACAGCUUUUGCAUCGGUAUCGAAAACCUGCUUUUUUUGUUCAAACUCCUUGGACAAGUGAUCGAUGGUGUCCGAGACAACGCCAUUGGCGUUGGAUUCCCGUUUAUUGAUUCCGAUUCUGGCGGGAGUAACUUGCACCGGAGUUUGGAUUCCAGAGAUAUUGUCUUCAGAAUCAUAAUAAUACGGCGAAAGUGAACCCUCGGGCUUUCCUUGUUGCCCUUCAGAUAUGUCUGAACCAAGAGUCUUUUUAGCUGCAGCAAGACUCAUCUAUAAUGUAAAAAUCCACCAACAAAUACCAUGAUUAGACCAAUUGUUUGUAAAAAAAAAAAAAAAAAACAAAGGAUAAAACUUACUUGUAAAGAUGCCAUCUGAGUUUGCCACAUCUCCUCUACUGCCUUCAUUUUAGUUUCAUAUUCUGACCACCGCAUUUCAAAUUGUCGAAUUUGGUCCCUCAAUGCGGUAUUUUCACGCUCUCUUUCGCUCAAAGACGAUUCCGCCCUCACCACUCGCCUCUGCAGCUCUUCAACAUUUUGUGGCAGAAUCGGCAUAUUUUCCUGUGAUAAACCCUAAAAACCAAUCCACAAGAUUUUCAACAACAAUUUAUUUUUUUAAAACUACAAAACAAUUUAAUCAAUGUAUAGAUUAGAUUACCUUGGAUUCUGAAUUUCCAGUGUGAGACUGAGACCUUGGCCUGCUUUUAGAAGCAUCAACAGCCAACUUCUUCCAUCUUUGUAAGUGAUUAAAAUAUCUUCGGGCCAACCAGCCACGAACGAAUGACUGUAGAUGUACAACUGCUGUUAAAUGCUCAUCAAGUGAACUUGUUGCAAGCUGCUUAUUAAGACUCUUUAGAACACCAUACUCCCUUCUUGCAUUUUCACCACGAACAACUGCAUCAAUCAAUCAAUCAAAUCAAAAACUUUAAUCCUUUAAUCAUUACACUAAAAAAAAAAAUCAAAUAUUCAAAUCUCUUACAUGACUGCAAUGUCACAACUCCAAACUUCAAUUCAUGUAAAUCAAGAAGAACUCGGCCACCAAGGAAGCUGUUUUCCACUUCACGUGUACCUUCUACAACUUCUUGCUUAUUAUUCUCCAAUACAUCAACCUACACCCACCAAAUUGCAUUAAUAAAAUAUAGAGUAAAUUACACGAAUGGUCCCUAUGGUUUGGAGUAAUUUACACAUUUGGUCCCUAACUUAUUUUUUUAACUUGGAAGGUCCCUACUAUUUGUUUUUGUUACGUGUUUGGUCCCUAUUGUUUGUUUUUGUUACGCGCUUGGUCCCUAUCUUACCUAAAAAGACUAUUACUUAAAUAGAGAAAAAUGGUAGGGUAGGUAAGGUAAGACGAUGGGGUGGGGUUAGGGGUGUGUUUAUUUAAAUAAAUUAAAAAAUCAAGGACAAAAUAGUAUUUUUUAGGUACGACAGGGACCAAGCGCGUAACAAAAACAAACAGUAGGGACCUUCCGAGUUAAAAAAAAAAGUUAGGGACCAAACGUGCAAAUUACCCUAAACUAUAGGGACCAUUCAUGUAAUUUACUCUAAAAUAUACAAUAUGAUAAAAGUUUAUCAUUCACACCAACUUUUUAUUAGUUUUCAAAGCUCACCUGUUCUUGGAAAAAUAGUUUUGUAUAUCCAACUUGAUACUUAUGUGGAGGGACACGAUACUGUUGUAAAAUAGCAAGUGAUGUACUCAGUGGAUCCAUACAGAUAAUGUUCUCCGAUAAAAGACACCCAAACCUGAUAAUACAUUUUUUUUUAAAUGAAGCACAAUACGAAGGGCAUAAUGGGGAAAUGAGUUUUAAUUUAUACCGGUUAGCGAAUUCUUGAUGUGUAAGGCGUAUUGAGUAUCUGGAUUUUAAGAUUUGUACAAUUUCCAUGACUCUACUGCAUCUAAGCUGUUGUAAUACAAAUUCCUUUUCAUACAUUCCAGGAAGCUGCUUGGUGUUUGGUCUUAUGCAUCGGAUAAAGUGUGCCUUUGAAUUUUCUAAUUGCUGAAUCAAUUUAAAUAAUUGUUCCUGCAAUUCAUUAUCCAGAAAUUUUAUUAAAACCCAAAUUCAAUCAUAUUUUCAAAUUUCCCACAAUAAUAUAAUUAUUACCUUGAACUUCACCCCGACACUUUGCACAUGUGAAACAGAGGCAAAAAGAUUAAGGAGACUUUUACGGGAUGCUGAGAGGAGUUGGAUUAUAUCAGACUGUAAAGUAUCACGGUUUUGUUCUAAGAACCCUGUAGCAUCAUAUUGAACCUGUACAUAUAUGUAAUUAUUUAUCAAAAAUAUGUUUAUUGUUUUAGUAGUAAUAAUAACUUAAUAAUAAUUAAUAAAUACCUCUCCAGCAUAAUGGCGAACUUUGAAAGCUCCUUUUUCAACACUAAAGCAUGAAUUGGAACUGAGGUGACGUUUAGUUUUAUUAGUAAAUGUUACAUCAGUGGCUUUGGAAGAAUUUGAACCCUCAUCUAGCAUUGAUAUUAGUCCCAUAGGUUUCUGUAACAAUCAAAGAAUUUAAAGUAAAUAAACAAAAUAAAUGAAUGAAUGAAAAUGAGCUCGAAACUAAUACCUUCUCAAAAAGAUCCAAACACUCAUGGUUGUCUUCGAACUCUACUUUUUUCCAGUGAAUUCCUUCCAAUUCAUACUCCUAAUAAUUAUAAUAAUUAAUAUUGUUUCUAUUUUAUAUGGAAAACAAAACGCUAUCAACUAUAUUAAUUAAUAUAUUUUAUAUAUAGUUAAGUUGUAUACCUCUUGUUCAAGCUUACAUAAAUGGCGAAUGAAGUGUUGCUGCAGCCUCUCAUCAGCAUAAUUUAUACACAACUGUGAAAAGCUGUUUUUCUGAAAGAAAAAAAAAACAACAAAACUUGUCACAUUAAAGAUAACCAUGGAUUCUAAAACUACAAGAAGAAAAAAAAAUUACCUGAAAUGACUCAAACCCAUAAGUGUCAAGAAUGCUUAUUGUCUUUUGAGCAUGUUGUUUGUCUUUAUCCCCUUCAAGUGAUCUAUUAAGUUCUCCCACAACCCAACUGAACAAGCUCUCAUAAACAAAUUUUGCCAAUGCGUCUCUUUUAUCAAUUGCCUAAAAGUAAAUAAACCAAUCCUCAAUAACAAGACGAGGGGUAUUUACGUCUUUUUGCACAAAUCUUGACAUACCUGUUGCAAAGUUAAUGGUUCGCCCAUAUCAUUGCCAGAUAAAACGGAUACCAGGUCAUUCACCUUGCACCCCAUUAACUUAGCAGCACUCCUACUAGCUUCAAAUACAAAAAACACAUACACAAAUUAGAAAUAAUAGUAUGAGUAGAGAGUAUGUAUUAGGAUUAACAUUACAGAAUUAAAUCAUAUAACUACAAACCUUCAUCAGCCACAACCUCAACAUAUUCAUCUUCAUCAAUUACUGUAAAUGAAAUAUUCCCAAGCCAUAAGAUUGCAGACAGCAAUUCAAAGGCAUGCUCAAGAUCCUCAAGGCGAAUGCCAACAACAUCAAACGCUUCCUGUUCAUUGUUCAAACAUUUGUUAAAAAAAAAACAUCAUUUCUCAAUUCUCAAUCAAUAAGUAGCUUAAAAACCCUAAAUUAUGAUGUUAGUACCAUUAGCUUUUCAAAGUUAUGGGCAUCAUCAAGACCAUUGAUUUUCAAACACCCACUCUGAUUCAGAAACUUAUACUCACUUGCCAAUUUCAAAUUCAGUCUAUCUGAGGAAAGAACAAAAAGUAAACAGUCUGGUCAUUUCCUGGGAAUUACUGUAUAAAACAAAAACUGUAAAUUUUUUUCAACUUUGAGUGACAGAAUUAAAAUCAAACAGAAAGAACCUUUAAUAGCAGGUGGAGCCCCAGCACACAUCUGAUAGAAGAUAUGAAAUGAUCGUUCUCCACGACAUAAUUGAGAUACUCUAAACUGCACAAAUCAAAAUUACUUCAAAACUUAUAUUCUAGAAACUCAUAUCAAAUAUAAAAAAAAAAGUAAAUACCUUUUCAAGAAGAACUGUUGGCAAUACCAUAAGAUGUUGAUGUUUUUCACAUGAAAAUAUCAAGUCAGUAUCCAUGUAAGAAAGUCAUAUUAAAAUAAUGGUCAAUUUCAGACUUACGUGUUUUAAUACAAGCACCAGAUACUGUCCCCUCUGUGUUAUAAUAAAUAUCGAUUAAUUUCCCCUACAAAACACUCCAAAUCAGAUACAUUCAGGGAAUAGGAAUAGGAAUCAAUGACUAGAAAGGGAAUGGAACCCACAAAUCGGCUGGAAUUGCAAUUCCGGGAUGUUUUUGCAUUCCCGAAAGCUUCCAAUAUGCAACUGGUAUGAGUUAUUUUGGAUGCCAUCUCACAAUUGUCACCUCCAACAGAUGCCAGAUAUUGCAGUGCAAACUUUGCUGUUUCUGUCUUCCCAGAUCCACUUUCACCCCCAACAACAAUAGACUGGUUUCUACCAUCUGAAAGAUUUAUCAAGAAAAAAUAUUAACAUUAUGAGUUUACAAUUCAAUAUAUCAAACUCUUUAUUGAAUCUCACAUUUCAUCAGAUUAUUGUAAGCAGUGUCAGCUGUAGCAUAUACAUGAGGGUUCUCCAAAAUCUUUUCCCUAUAAGCAGUCACAUAAUCGUCUCCAUAAAUUUGAACAUCUUUGAAGGGAUUGAUUGCUAAUAGGACGGGGCCCACCUUACU